AAUAACAUCCCUUACCUCAAAAUAACCGUACUUCUGACUGAAUUUCGGUAUAGUGCUGACAGAAACUCGCACCGUAUAGCAACACUCAAAGUAUACUCACAAGAAUACGCUCGAUAAUAUAGAGAGAGAAAGAGAGAAAACUUAGUUUCUGGUGUGAUUUUCAAUUCUAACUUAGCCCUCUAUUUAUAGGAAAAUGCUAGAACGCCAAAGGAGACUAAAAUAAUAAAAUAUAUUAUUUCUUUACCAAUUUCUCUACACAUUCUAGGUUGGAAUCAGCCAUCUUUGAAUAAAAUUAGCAGCCCAUGUGCAUAUUCCACCAACCAAAAGUGGGUCCCCCCAUAAAUUUAAUAAAAACCAUUCUAUUUUUCCAAAACUUCAAUAAUUCAUAGAAAAUAGCUCGGUUAUCAGAAAAAUUCAAAACUCGCGCCUUUCCAUGGGAAAUUCCAUUCUCUACAACUUUUCAGAAGAAAGUUUUUCCAAAUUCCAAACAGAAAUUGACCAAAAUCCAUAAACGGGCGAUUUUAUAGUCUAUAAUAAAUUUUCGGUCAAGAAUUGUGUCCACCGACACACAAAACAUGUGUUAAACAUUUAAUGCCACAAAAUACUCUACCUCCUCAUAUACUCAUAUAUCCCACAUUCAUUAUAAAAAUAUCACCGUUAAUAUAUUAUUAAAA
rnacentral:lncRNA from 1 species